rnacentral:rRNA from 1 species
UACGGAGGGUGCAAGCGUUAUCCGGAUUCACUGGGUUUAAAGGGUGUGUAGGCGGGUAUGUAAGUCAGUGGUGAAAUCUCCGGGCUCAACCUGGAAACUGCCAUUGAUACUAUAUAUCUUGAAUUUUGUUGAGGUAGGCGAAUAUGUCAUGUAGCGGUGAAAUGCAUAGAUAUGACAUAGAACACCGAUUGCGAAGGCAGCUUACUAAACAAAUAUUGACGCUGAGGCACGAAAGCGUGGGGAUCAAACAGG